rnacentral:rRNA from 1 species
AGUCGAGCGGUAACAGGAAGAAGCUUGCUUCUUUGCUGACGAGCGGCGGACGGGUGAGUAAUGCCUAGGAAUCUGCCUAGUAGUGGGGGAUAACUUGCCGAAAGGUAAGCUAAUACCGCAUACGCCCUACGGGGGAAAGCAGGGGACUCUUCGGAGCCUUGCGCUAUUAGAUGAGCCUAGGUCGGAUUAGCUAGUUGGUGAGGUAAUGGCUCACCAAGGCUGCGAUCCGUAACUGGUCUGAGAGGAUGAUCAGUCACACUGGAACUGAGACACGGUCCAGACUCCUACGGGAGGCAGCAGUGGGGAAUAUUGGACAAUGGGGGCAACCCUGAUCCAGCCAUGCCGCGUGUGUGAAGAAGGUCUUCGGAUUGUAAAGCACUUUAAUUUGGGAGGAAGGGCUUACACCUAAUACGUGUGAGUUUUGACGUUACCAAAAGAAUAAGCACCGGCUAACUUCGUGCCAGCAGCCGCGGUAAUACGAAGGGUGCGAGCGUUAAUCGGAAUUACUGGGCGUAAAGCGCGCGUAGGUGGUUCGUUAAGUUAGGAGUGAAAGCCCCGGGCUCAACCUGGGAAUUGCUUCUAAAACUGGCGGGCUAGAGUACGGUAGAGGGUGGUGGAAUUUCCUGUGUAGCGGUGAAAUGCGUAGAUAUAGGAAGGAACAUCAGUGGCGAAGGCGACCACCUGGACUG